CAGGGGACCAGUAUGAUGGUAGGCUGAGGACCCGUAUGAUGGUAGGCUGAGGCAGGGGAGCCAUAUGAUGGUAGUCUGAGGCAGGGGACCAGUAUGAUGGUAGGCUGAGGCAGGGGACCAGUAUGAUGGUAGGCUGAGGCAGGGGACCAGUAUGAUGGUAGGCUGAGGCAGGGGACCAGUAUGAUGGUAGGCUGAGUCAGGGGACCAGUAUGAUGGUAGGCUGAGGCAGGGGGCCAGUAUGAUGGUAGGCUGAGGCAGGGGCCAGUAUGAUGGUAGGCUGAGGCAGGGGACCCAUAUGAUGGUAGGCUGAGGCAGGGGACCAGUAUGAUGGUAGGCUGAGGCAGGGGACCAGUAUGAUGGUAGGCUGAGGCAGGGGGCCAGUAUGAUGGUAGGCUGAGGACCAGUAUGAUGGUAGGCUGAGGACCAGUAUGAUGGUAGGCUGAGGACCAGUAUGAUGGUAGGCUGAGGACCAGUAUGAUGGUAGGCAGAGGACCAGUAUGAUGGUAGGCUGAGGCAGGGGACCAGUAUGAUGGUAGACUGAGGCAGGGGGCCAGUAUGAUGGUAGGCUGAGGCAGGGGACCAGUAUGAUGGUAGGCUGAGGCAGGGGACCAGUAUGAUGGUAGGCUGAGGCAGGGGACCAGUAUGAUGGUAGGCUGAGGCAGGGGACCAGUAUGAUGGUAGGCUGAGGCAGGGGACCAGUAUGAUGGUAGGCUGAGUCAGGGGACCAGUAUGAUGGUAGGCUGAGGCAGGGGGCCAGUAUGAUGGUAGGCUGAGGCAGGGGGCCAGUAUGAUGGUAGGAUGAGGCAGGGGACCAGUAUGAUGGUAGGCUGAGGCAGGGGACCAGUAUGACGGUAGGCUGAGGCAGGGGACCAGUAUGAUGGUAGGCUGAGGCAGGGGACCAGUAUGAUGGUAGACUGAGGCAGGGGACCAGUAUGAUGGUAGGCUGAGGACCAGUAUGAUGGUAGGAUGAGGCAGGGGACCAGUAUGAUGGUAGACUGAGGCAGGUGAUGCUGUAGACCCCCUGCAGGGCAGAACAGGUUAGUUCUAUAGAACCCCUUCCAGAAUGUUCAGGUAUUGUUUCAGUUUGGGGUUCUACAUUCUAUUUUUGGGUGUCCAUGGUGAUUAAUCCUAUUUCUACACCUCCCUACCUUCCUCAUUAUGGGCCGUCCCAAAUGGCACCC
ensembl:lncRNA